ACUGCUGCUGACACACAGCUACACUUCUUCAGCCACGAUAAGGAGCUAAAGUAUUUUCAGAUGUCGUUUUCCAGAAUCAGGACACUUUAUGUGGAUAA